rnacentral:tRNA from 1 species
UCUCUGGUGGCUCAGAUGGUAAAGCGUCUGCCUACAAUGCAGGAGACCCGGGUUCGAUCCCUGAGUUGGGAA